UAAGCAUAUCAAUAAGCGGAGGAAAAGAAACCAACAGGGAUUGCCUUAGUAACGGCGAGUGAAGCGGCAACAGCUCAAAUUUGAAAUCUGGCCCUUGGGUCCGAAUUGUAAUUUGUAGAGGAUGAUUUUGGUGCGGUAUCUUCCGAGUUCCUUGGAACAGGACGCCUUAGAGGGUGAGAGCCCCGUACGGUUGAAUGCCUAGCCUCUGUAAAUCUCCUUCGACGAGUCGAGUAGUUUGGGAAUGCUGCUCUAAAUGGGAGGUAAAUUUCUUCUAAAGCUAAAUAUUGGCCAGAGACCGAUAGCGCACAAGUAGAGUGAUCGAAAGAUGAAAAGCACUUUGAAAAGAGGGUUAAAUAGCACGUGAAAUUGUUGAAAGGGAAGGAUUUGUGACCAGACUUUUUCUGGGCGGAUCAUCCGGGGUUCUCUCCGGUGCACUUUGCCCAGUAAAGGCCAGCAUCGGUUUUCGGCGGGGGAUAAAAGCAGUAGGAAUGUGGCUCUCUACGGGGAGUGUUAUAGCCUAUUGUAUAAUACCCUGCUGGGGACCGAGGUACGCGCUUCUGCAAGGAUGCUGGCGUAAUGGUUAUCAAUCACCCGUCUUGAAACACGGACCAAGGAGUCGAACAUUUGUGCGAGUGUUUGGGUGUUAAACCCUCACGCGUAAUGAAAGUGAACGGAGGUGAGAGCCCUUACGGGUGCAUCAUCGACCGAUCCUGAAGUUUUCGGAUGGAUUUGAGUAAGAGCAUAACUGUUCGGACCCGAAAGAUGGUGAACUAUGCGUGGAUAGGGUGAAGCCAGAGGAAACUCUGGUGGAGGCUCGCAGCGGUUCUGACGUGCAAAUCGAUCGUCAAAUCUGCGCAUGGGGGCGAAAGACUAAUCGAACCAUCUAGUAGCUGGUUACC
rnacentral:rRNA from 1 species